rnacentral:lncRNA from 1 species
CAAAGUGCACUGGCCGUAGACAAUGAACUGAAACAUUGGUGUAAUUUUAACAUGGCAAUGAGCAGGGGGGUGGAAUCAGUGCAGUGGAUGCUAAUUCACUUAAAUGCCUACCCUCUUGAUGGAAGAUGGGAAAUGCUUGGCCUAAAAAGAAAAGCCCUGGCGCAAAAAUGUGUGGACAGAAUCUUUUUCCAUUUUUCUGUGUUGGCAAACGUACAUGUCCAAACAUACAUUUUGUCAGCGGUAAAAAGGUGUAUUUCUAUGAGAAGCUUUGGAGGUGGAAUAGCGGCUUUUUUUUAGGCCCAACGAAGAGAAAUAAAUUGUUUCAUCUUCACACUGCAAUUCAUCACUAAGAGGUGUGAAUCUUCUUAGGGCCACAGAUCAGAGAAAAAAUCCACUCCCCACUGAGAGACAACGGAACGAUUUCCUAUCGGUUCCCAAGAUCCAAACGCUUCCAUGGUUUGCAACCUGCAUAAGUGUCUCCCAAGGCAGCGGAAGUCUUUGCCCCACAGCUCUCUGCAUAAACAGAGCAGCCUCCCUGAACAGCCGCUGGGUGUAAGCAACAAGGCUGGCCAUUGUGAGACCAACCGGACGACUGCUGCUUAAUGACUGUUCAUCAGGCAGACCAGUACAUUCCUAUCAUCUUCACAUAUGUUCAUACUUGUCCAAUUUCUUUUGUAUUAAUAUUGUUUUGUAUUA